UCAACAAUCAGAAAGAGAUGAAAAAAAUUAAGAAAACUGAUUAACCGAAACUUAUUGUUAAUCUCAAGGCUUAACUUUAAAUCUUCUUGACGAAUCAAAUUGUUUUUUCAUUUUGAAUCUAAUUAGAUGAUUUGCCAUUCGCUUACAUGUAAUAAUCUUAAAUUGUCAACUGAUUAACAAUCAAAAUUAAUUACAAUGGAUAAGAAAAGGUAAGAUAAUCCAAUUGAUUUUCUUAAGUUUAUCUAUUUGAUCACCUGAUUCACUAAUUGUUACAUUGUUGAUUUAAAGGUAAACAAAAUCUUAUUGAAACUAAUUAAUUGUCUCCAGACAAAGUUGAUUAUCGUUAAUUACGUUUGAUCAUUGAUUUAAUUCCGUCUCAACGGUUGAUAUUCACAAGAUAAAUUAACUUAAAUUUAACAGAAAAGUUUCUCUUCUCCCAAUCAGUUACCCUUAUUAUCUGGAUUGUUUUUUCCUCAUCUAAUUGUCUUUGAACAGGUAAUCCUCUUUUCUUUAAUCCUUGACAACACGACCAAUUAAGAGUAACAAUUAAUUCACCUUUCCGUUUGGUGUUCAAUGUAAGUCAUUUGUUUUUAUUUCCAUUCUCAGAACUUUUUUUCAUCUUUUCCUGAUAUUUUUCCAUCUCUAGAAAAUUAUCAUGUUGUUAACUUUAUCUUCUUCUUUACAUCUUACUAAUAACGAUAAAUUCUGUUGAAAAUUCAUGAGGUAAUCGCUUAGAAUCCUGAUGACGAUUAAAAAAUAUUCCAAUAAGGAAACAAUUUAAGUCGAAAUUGUAAAAAGAAUUCGAAAAUGAAUCAGCUGAAUCUAUCGAUGAACUUUUCCUGAACUCUAUUUAUUUAUAAAUGAUUUGGAUAGAAAAGUCAUUUAAUCAAACAACAUCAACAAGUAUUGACCUCAACCUGAACUUGGUCAACAUUUAAUUAUACAAAAUGAUUGAUAGAAAUCAAUGAUUUCAUCUUUAAAUAAUAUUUCCAACCUGAAAUAAACCAAUGAAAUGAUGAUGGAUGAUCAACAAGGAAACAACUUUGACCAUGUUAAUAUACAAGAAAAUUCAGUGACCAUUAUCAGAAAUGAAUCUUGAAUCAAUUCAUUUCUCAAUUUGAUAUUUUCACUGAUGGAAAUGGAUCAUGAAAAGUGUUACAAUUAAAGAGAAUGGACAUUUUUUUUUUCAACUGACCAAAUGGUUACACAUCAAUUAACCUGAUUAUCACCAAGUUGACAAUUAUCAUUUGAUGGAGAGAUGAAAUUUUCUCUUACCCUGUAAUAAUAAGAUUGUUCAACUUGCACCGGUGAAAUGGUAAACGAAAGGUACAUUGGAACACAAAAUAUUGGUACAAUCAAAUAGAUCGAGAUGAUUGAGACAACAGCGUUUCUCAUUGUGAACCAAGUUCUACUUUGGGUUGGAUAACUGGACAUUAUCGAGUUGCCAUAAAAUGGAUUCCCGAUCACAAGCAUAUUAGAUGAUCUCGAAUUACUAAUGUUUACCAUUAUCAAGUUUGAUGGACUUUCUAUUGGAAAAGGUUCAUCUUAAUGGAUGACGAUUAUGUGACAUCCUGGACACUUACCUUACGGAUAAAAGCCUCCAAAUGGCAAGAAGAAUAGUUAACCAUGUUGAUAUUGAAUGAAAUACAACGGAAAAAUGAGCAUGAAAAAGUGUAAAAACUGUCCAUGGGUAGGAAU